UUUGUCGCGUUGUUCGUGAAAUCUCACGGCUUAACUGUGAGCGUGCGGGCGAUACGGGCAGACUUGAGUACUGCAGGGGAGACUGGAAUUCCUGGUGUAGCGGUGGAAUGCGCAGAUAUCAGGAGGAACACCGGUGGCGAAGGCGGGUCUCUGGGCAGUAACUGACGCUGAGGAGCGAAAGCGUGGGGAGCGAACAGGAUUAGAUACCCUGGUAGUCCACGCCGUAAACGGUGGGUACUAGGUGUGGGUUUCCUUCCUUGGGAUCCGUGCCGUAGCUAACGCAUUAAGUACCCCGCCUGGGGAGUACGGCCGCAAGGCUAAAACUCAAAGAAAUUGACGGGGGCCCGCACAAGCGGCGGAGCAUGUGGAUUAAUUCGAUGCAACGCGAAGAACCUUACCUGGGUUUGACAUGCACAGGACGCCGGCAGAGAUGUCGGUUCCCUUGUGGCCUGUGUGCAGGUGGUGCAUGGCUGUCGUCAGCUCGUGUCGUGAGAUGUUGGGUUAAGUCCCGCAACGAGCGCAACCCUUGUCUCAUGUUGCCAGCGGGUAAUGCCGGGGACUCGUGAGAGACUGCCGGGGUCAACUCGGAGGAAGGUGGGGAUGACGUCAAGUCAUCAUGCCCCUUAUGUCCAGGGCUUCACACAUGCUACAAUGGCCGGUACAAAGGGCUGCGAUGCCGCGAGGUUAAGCGAAUCCUUUUAAAGCCGGUCUCAGUUCGGAUCGGGGUCUGCAACUCGACCCCGUGAAGUCGGAGU
rnacentral:rRNA from 1 species